CUUGCACUCUGUGAAACAAGAUACAGGCUAGCGGCGGACGGGUGAGUAACACGUGGGUAACCUGCCCAAGAGAUCGGGAUAACACCUGGAAACAGAUGCUAAUACCGGAUAAUAACAGAUGAUGCCUAUCAAACUGUUUAAAAGAUGGUUCUGCUAUCACUCUUGGAUGGACCUGCGGUGCAUUAGCUAGUUGGUAGGGUAACGGCCUACCCAAGGCGAUGAUGCAUAGCCCGAGUUGAGAGACUGAUCGGGCCACAUUGGGGACUGAGGACACGGGGCCCAAAACUCCUACGGGGGGAGGGGCAGCAGGGUAGGGGGAAUCUUCCACAAUGGACGCAAGUCUGAUGGAGCAACGCCGCGUGAGUGAAGAAGGGUUUCGGCUCGUAAAGCUCUGUUGUUGGUGAAGAAGGACAGGGGUAGUAACUGACCUUUGUUUGACGGUAAUCAAUUAGAAAGUCACGGCUAACUACGUGCCAGCAGCCGCGGUAAU
rnacentral:rRNA from 1 species